ACGUCGAAUUAACUUUUAAGUCUCAUUUUGGGCUCUUUGUUUCUCUCUCUCUUUCUCUCUCUCUAUCAAACUCUUCGCUCAUUGUUUUUCUAGAAAUUUCUUUUGUUCCUAAAACAUAAAUUUCAUCUUUAAUUUGUGAAAUCUCAAAUAAAUGAAGCUUCAUUUCUGCCGUUAGGUUUCUCUAAAGUGGUGUUGCUUGACAUUUUAGUUCGAUUCAUGGAGUUCUUAACCAAGUAUUUGAAUACACAAGUUGGGUUUAGCUCACUCUAAAGAUCCAACUUUGCUUCAGAAAGUCUUCAACUAUGAUCGAAGCAGUUCCCUGUUCAAGAUGAUAUUUAGUUUUUUUACCAUUUUGUAAUAGCGGUCUUUUUUGUAAAGGAACCUCCCUGCUUGGUUUCUGGGUGGAAAAGGUUACAUAUGCGUAAACACGAUUACAUAAGGAAGAGGACUUUGAGCCUAGCUUUCCUGAAACAAUAUACAGCCACCCAAUUCUUACAAAUCUAAGAUCAUGAAGGACUCCAUUUACAUUAGCUCUGUACAACCUUAUCAUUACUAAAUUAGACAUGUAUUCUUGUUAGUUUUCAAAAUUGGUAUAUCUUUUUUGCUGUUUACGCCCUAGAAGAUGAGAAUUGCAAGUAAUUUAUCCAUCCUUAACUAUCCUUUAGCCUCUUCAGGUAGCUCCCUCCAACUAUGUAUAAAUACCUCAUUUAGUACUGGUUCUCAGGGAGGCAGGAAGUUGACAAACUUUUCUUUCUUUUAUAUUCAUUAAUCUCAGGAGCACAGUGGCCAUGGUAAAAGAAAUUCAAAUGGCCAAUUGAAAUCAUAUUUACUUAUUCAAACUU